rnacentral:tRNA from 1 species
CAUAUGGUGGCUGAUAAAAGUGAAGGCCUCUUAAGCCUUAUGAUGGUUGAUAACCCCAUGUGG